UACGUAGGUGGCAAGCGUUGUCCGGAUUUACUGGGCGUAAAGGGCGCGUAGGCGGUCAGCACAAGUCAGUUGUGAAAUCUCCGGGCUUAACCCGGAAAGGUCAACUGAUACUGUGCGACUAGAGUGCGGAAGGGGCAACUGGAAUUCUCGGUGUAGCGGUGAAAUGCGCAGAUAUCGGGAGGAACACCGGUGGCGAAGGCGGUUCUCUGGGCCUUACCUGACGCUGAGGAGCGAAAGCGUGGGGAGCGAACAGG
rnacentral:rRNA from 1 species